UACGAAGGGGGCUAGCGUUGCUCGGAAUCACUGGGCGUAAAGGGUGCGUAGGCGGGUCUUUAAGUCAGGGGUGAAAUCCUGGAGCUCAACUCCAGAACUGCCUUUGAUACUGAGGAUCUUGAGUUCGGGAGAGGUGAGUGGAACUGCGAGUGUAGAGGUGAAAUUCGUAGAUAUUCGCAAGAACACCAGUGGCGAAGGCGGCUCACUGGCCCGAUACUGACGCUGAGGAGCGAAAGCGUGGGGAGAGAACAGG
rnacentral:rRNA from 1 species